rnacentral:tRNA from 2 species
CUAGUGUAGCUUAAACAAAGCAUGACACUGAAGAUGUCAAGAUGGGCCCUAAAAAGUUCCACAAGCAUA